UACGGAGAGUGCGAGCGUUAUCCGGAUUUAUUGGGUUUAAAGGGUGCGUAGGCGGAGUGCCAAGUCAGCGGUAAAAAUUCGGGGCUCAACCCCGUCGUGCCGUUGAAACUGGCGCCCUUGAGUGGGCGAGAAGUAUGCGGAAUGCGUGGUGUAGCGGUGAAAUGCAUAGAUAUCACGCAGAACCCCGAUUGCGAAGGCAGCAUACCGGCGCCCGACUGACGCUGAAGCACGAAAGCGUGGGUAUCGAACAGG
rnacentral:rRNA from 1 species